CAGCAGCCGCGGUAAUACAGAGGGUGCGAGCGUUAAUCGGAUUUACUGGGCGUAAAGCGUGCGUAGGCGGCUUUUUAAGUCGGAUGUGAAAUCCCUGAGCUUAACUUAGGAAUUGCAUUCGAUACUGGGAAGCUAAAGUAUGGGAGAGGAUGGUAGAAUUCCAGGUGUAGCGGUGAAAUGCGUAGAGAUCUGGAGGAAUACCGAUGGCGAAGGCAGCCAUCUGGCCUAAUACUGACGCUGAGGUACGAAAGCAUGGGGAGCAAACAGGAUUAGAUACCCGUGUAGUCCCUGUCUCUUAUAC
rnacentral:rRNA from 1 species